AAUAAAGUGCCUGAAAAAAGGGUUAUCGUGAUAGGAUAAAUAAUGUAAUUUUAAUUACCUUUAUUA
rnacentral:tRNA from 1 species